rnacentral:rRNA from 1 species
AUAGAAGUAGCAAUACUUGGUGGCGACCGGCGCACGGGUGAGUAACGCGUAUGCAACCUACCUAUCGAGAGGGGGAUAACCCGGCGAAAGUCGGACUAAUACCGCAUAAAACAGGGGCACCGCAUGGUGAUAUUUGUUAAAGAUUAAUUGCUGAUAGAUGGGCAUGCGUUCCAUUAGGUAGUUGGUGAGGUAAUGGCUCACCAAGCCGACGAUGGAUAGGGGAACUGAGAGGUUGGUCCCCCACACUGGUACUGAGACACGGACCAGACUCCUACGGGAGGCAGCAGUGAGGAAUAUUGGUCAAUGGGCGAGAGCCUGAACCAGCCAAGUCGCGUGAAGGAAGAAGGAUCUAUGGUUCGUAAACUUCUUUUGCAGGGGGAUAAAGUGGAGGACGUGUCCUCUUUUGUAUGUACCCUGAGAAUAAGGAUCGGCUAACUCCGUGCCAGCCGCGGC